rnacentral:tRNA from 1 species
GUCGAGGUAGCUCAGACGGUUAGAGCGCUAGACUCAUAAUCUAGAGGUCGGGGGUUCGAUUCCCCCCCUCGACA